rnacentral:misc_RNA from 1 species
GAUGAAGAACGUAUCGAAAUGCGAUAAGUAGUGUGAAUUGCAGAAUUCAGUGAAUCAUCGAAUCUUUGAACGCACAUUGCGCCCCUUGGUAUUCCAUGGGGCAUGCCUGUUCGAGCGUCAUUUGUACCUUCAAGCUUUGCUUGGUGUUGGGUGUUUGUCCUGAGGGACUCGCCUUAAAGUAAUUGGCAGCCAGUGUUUGGUUUUGAAGCGCAGCACAAGUCGCGAUUCAAAGCUAUACGCCCGCUUCCACAAGCCUUUUUCACUUUUGACCUCGGAUCAGGUAGGGAUACCCGCUGAACUUAAGCAUAUCAAUAAGCGGAGGA